AUGGCCGUAGAAGUACCUCCAAGGAGGAGGAAUUAUUGCACAUGGGAUGAUGAGAUGGAUGAGGCAUUGCUUGAAGUCCUUGUUGAGCAUCACAACAAGGGUGACCAUGCCCAGAAUGGAUGGAAACCACAUGUGUACACGCAUGCCAUAAGGCAUGUGAAGGACAAGUGUAAUAAGGAUAUCACAAAGGAUAACAUAAGUGGAAGGAUGAGGACUUUGGAUCAUCACUAUGAGGUCGUUAGCAAGAUCCUUUCUCAAAGUGGUUUUGGCUGGGAUUGGACCAAUAAUAGGCCCAAUGGAUAG
rnacentral:rRNA from 1 species